rnacentral:rRNA from 1 species
UACGUAGGGGGCUAGCGUUGUCCGGAAUCAUUGGGCGUAAAGCGCGUGUAGGCGGUCCGGUAAGUCCGCUGUGAAAGUCGGGGGCUCAACCCGCGGAUGCCGGUGGAUACUGUCGGGCUUGAGUACGGAAGAGGCGAGUGGAAUUCCUGGUGUAGCGGUGAAAUGCGCAGAUAUCAGGAGGAACACCAAUUGCGAAGGCAGCUCGCUGGGACGUUACUGACGCUGAGACGCGAAAGCGUGGGGAGCGAACAGG